CCCGGUAUGUAUAAAACAUAUUUCCAAACCGUAAAAAAUUUAGGAAAAAAAUUUAGCAUGUAGAGGGACAUGUUCUAUGUGUGCACGUAAAUUUUCACCUAAAACCAACAUUUUUUGUACCCUGUGUAAAAAAGGCAAAUAAUGCCUCAAAAAAUAGACUAUUUUAGCACCUAAGAUUUGUCUUUUUUGCACAAGGCAUGAAACAUAUCGGUUUUUGCUGAAACAACUUUGUAAGCAUGUAACAUGUCAAGGUAUACACAAAGAAUUUUUAUUUGUAUUUUUCUAACAUUUUUAAAUAUAUUUAAUAUGCGUUUUAAAUAAAGGGUGCAUAUGCACCCGGGUGUAGAAACACCCUGUCCACCACAACUCCUCCUUCUUUCUCCUCAAUCAUGCUGCCGCCCUCUCCUGAACUGCGCCACCAGCCGCCGUGGCCGCCCCCGCUCCUCCGUCGCAUUCGCUGCCGCCGCCCCUCCCUCCGUCGAAGCCGGCAGCCGCCGCGGCCGCCCCCUCUCCUCCAUCAUAGCCGGCAGCCGCCGCGGCCGACCCCUCUCCUCCAUCGCAGACGCGAACCGCCGCCGCUGCCCCCUCCUUCCGUCGCAGCCGCCAGCCGCCGCGGGUGCGACCUCUCCUCCAUCUUAGCCGCCAGCCAUCGCGGCCGGCCCCUCUCCUCCGUCGUAGACGCGAGCCGCCGCCGUCCCCUCCCUCCGUCGCAGCCGCCAGACGCCGCCGUCGCCCCCUCCCUCCGUCGCAGCCGCCAGCCACCGGCGCCCCUCCCUCCGUCGCAACCGCCAGCCGCCGCCACCCUCUCCGUCACAGCCCCCCGACCCUCCGUCACGGGGAUCGUCGGGAGAGCCACAAAAUAUGAGUUGAAAGUCAUACAACGGUAUUUACAUAAAGCCAUCUGUUCUCAUUAAGCAACAAUGUUCAGAUAGAAAGCAAAUAUGUUUGUGUUAUCCAUCAGUUGCUUGUUACUGGAUACCUAAAAGAAAGAUUAAUGGUAUAUUGUCUGCAACUAGGUUCAAAUCAAAUUCAGUAUUUGGGAAUUUCUAUCUCCUAGUGGCUAAUGCAGGUGUACCCCUGUCAAAGGAAAAUACCAAGUCCUACCAGAUUUUUGUGUGUUCAGUACUGCCUGCUCACUGUCAAUAGAGCCGCAUGGCCAUGCAAAAGUGAAGAGCUUAUGCUAAUUUUAGUUGUUACAUAUGUAAAUAAGGUUGGCGGUUUUGGCUGUAGAGGAAGAUAUGGCCCUUAGCUCAUUGCUGACAUGGAUACAUGAUCAACUCCCCAGUAUGUAUGACCAGUCUUCACAUGGUGUCUCUGAUUUUUGCUUAAAUGCAGCGUUCCUGCUUUGUUCAUAAGGACAGUUGGUCUCCGCUGCCAUUCAACUGUUGAUACAUCAACAUCUUCAGAGUCAGUCGCAUAUCGUUGGACAGAAGGAGGCAUUGAGAAAUCUGAAGGUGGUUUGAUAGUGUAGAUGGCCAAAGGUAAACCAAUAGCUUUAGCAUCAGCCAACAAGAGCCUACUAAGCUCUAUGCCGCCGAUCAGUUCUUCAUCCGACAGUGCGGCUUCAAGCAUGACAAAGUCAUUGAGAUCCCGAUAGUGGCAGCGAAGCGGAGGUUGCCCCUGGUGGCGAGGUGCAGUGCGGCGGACAUUUUGGCGGCAAGUUGCGGAGUUGAUUUCCACGAUGUGAUCAGUCAAAAAUUAUAAGGUGAAGCCUGUAAUAUAUGAGGAUGGGGCACUAGUUAUCUUUAAUUAUGAGAAUGUGACCACAUCAUGUUCUUAUAGAAGAUACGAAUCCAAAGGUUUGUUGUGCAAGGAGGAUAUACAGACCUUCUACUUCAAAAUGAUUGAUCGUCAUAGCUUCUGCACCCUUCGAUAAGAAUGGAUUUUGAUGUAGUGAAUCUCAGAAAAUGGAAGGAGUAGGCAUAGCAAUAAUUUUGAUCGUCCGGGGGAUCGCCAGCAGAGUUACGGACCCGUCCCCUCCGUCGCUGGGAUCGCUGAUGCUGCAGCGACCAGGACAUCAUGAUGAGAUUGUCGAUGACUUGGCUGUCCUUAUGGAGUCGCCCGGUAACUGGUCACAUUGUGGUCCGCUCUAAAUGUUAUGUCUGAGUCUGCUCCCAAAGUUCAGUUUGUGUAUCUUUCUCACUGUUGUUAUGUUGUAAAGAGCUGUAUGUAUGUGAUGCUUCUGGCUUCUGAGUCCGUUUGUUUCGUGACUCAGUUCCAAAGAUACAAAAAGUAGAGCUAAAUAUGACAGCAUCAAAAGUUCCAGAUGUAAUUUAAAUUUUAUAUGAGGAUCUUAAUUGUUUGUGUGUGUUUCA